GAGUUAAAUCCCAGCCAUACUGGUGUGGCCAUGGGGUCUCCUGUUGCAUGCGAGAGCGGCCUGGAGGUACUUUGACAGCUCAGGCCAACCCACUGCCUAUGGCUGCCACUCACCUUUCCUAUAAGG
rnacentral:snoRNA from 1 species